GAAAUGCGAUACGUAAUGUGAAUUGCAGCACUCGUGAAUCAUCGAAUCUUUGAACGCAUAUUGCGCUCGAGGCUUCGGCCAAGAGCAUGUCUGCCUCAGCGUCGGGUUAAUCCUCACCUAACCAAUCCUCUGGAUUGAUUAAGUGGAUCUGGCUUUCCCAGGCCUAGUGUCUGGGUUCGCUGAAGCACAGAGGUUGAUGCAUGGACCCGAUAAGGGCCGCAACUGGGUAGGCAACUUGUUGCUGAUGCUUUAGUUGUUGGUCUGGUUCUGUGCUUGUCGACCCGAAAUCAGGAAGGGCUUCGGCCCUAUUAACCUUUAUCUCGACCUGAGCUCAGGCAAGAACACCCGCUGAACUUAA
rnacentral:misc_RNA from 1 species